rnacentral:rRNA from 1 species
UGAUCCUGGCUCAGAACGAGUGCUGGCGGCGGGGUUUAGGCAUGCAAGUCGCGCGUGAACGUCCUUCGGGGCUAUUAGCGCGGCGAAAGGGUGAGUAAUGCUUCGUUAAUGUACCCAUGGGACCGGGAUAAUUCCUGGAAACGGGUUGUAAUACCGGAUGAGACCCCAGGCACCACGGUGCCGGUGGUCAAAGGCAUGUUGCUUUCGGGCGCAUGCGCCGAUGGAGCGGACGAAGUCUGAUUAGCUUGUUGGUGGGGUCACGGCCUACCAAGGCGAUGAUCAGUAGCGGGCCUGAGAGGGUGGCCCGCCACACUGGGACUGAGACACUGCCCAGACUCCUACGGGAGGCUGCAGUCGCGAAUCAUUCACAAUGGACGGAAGUCUGAUGAUGCCACGCCGCGUGCGGGAAGAAGGCCUUCGGGUUGUAAACCGCUGUCGAGAGGGGGGAAGUAUUGACUGCCCUCUGGAGGAAGCCCCGGCUAAACACGUGCCAGCAGCCGCGGUAAUACGUGUGGGGCAAGCGUUGUUCGGAAUCACUGGGCUUAAAGGGUGCGUAGGCGGCCUAUCAAGUCAGGGGUGAAAUCCCGCGGGCCAACCGUGGAAUUGCCUUUGAUACUGGUGGGCUUGAGUGUGCCAGGGGUGAGCGGAACGUGUGGUGUAGCGGUGAAAUGCGUAGAAAUCACACGGAAGGCCGGAGCCGAAGGGGGGCUCACUGGGGCACAACUGACGCUGAGGCACGAAAGCGUGGGGAGCAAACAGGAUUAGAUACCCUGGUAGUCCACG